rnacentral:lncRNA from 1 species
AUCGACCUCAUAGAGUCAAAUGACUGCAACAAAGUUGUUAGGAAAAAGCAUAUAAUUUCAUUUAAAAUAAGAAAGUAGUUCCUAAAAAGGGGAGAAAUCUCCCAACUAAGGGAAAAAUUUUCUAGAGGGAGAAACACUUUCCCAUUUGGAACCAAUGCCUCAAUUGGGAGAAAACUUACCAUGCAGGUGGAAGUCCCGAAAAUAGCACCAGAAAUCCCUCAAAUGAGAGAUUUCCUUAACAAUAACAACAUUUCCUAAAUAAGAGAAAUCCCUUAGGUUGAAAGAAAAUUCCCCAAGUUGGAAAAUUUUCUAAUAUGGAGAAAUUCCCAAAAUUAGAGGAACUCCAAAUAGAUACACUCCAUAUAACA